CUUGGGAUGUAAGGGGCCGGUAUGCAUGCCCUGGGUUAGUACCACCUCGCCUAGCCAAGGGGGCCGUGUUGCACUUAUAAGGGCGGGCCUCCCUCCUCUCUCAGCCUAGGUUUUGAGAGCGAGGUGCCCGUCUGAAUAGGCUGCGCACGAGCGCAUGAACGUCCGACGCUGGCGAUGGUGGGCUUUAGGCGGACUGGCCCAGUGGGUGCGUUACAAUUGGUAUCGGAGCCCACAUUGCCGCUGCUGCCUGGGAGAGCUUUGGGCCUCUUAGGGGGGUGGGAUGUAAGGGGCCGGUAUGCAUGCCCUGGGUUAGUACCACCUCGCCUAGCCAAGGGGGCCGUGUUGCACUUAUAAGGGCGGGCCUCCCUCCUCUCUCAGCCUAGGUUUUGAGAGCGAGGUGCCCGUCUGAAUAGGCUGCGCACGAGCGCAUGAACGUCCGACGCUGGCGAUGGUGGGCUUUAGGCGGACUGGCCCAGUGGGUGCG
rnacentral:lncRNA from 1 species